rnacentral:misc_RNA from 1 species
GUUAACAUUCACCGUAUACAUCAAAUGUUAAGCAGGGAAAAGAAACAGUACCAGUUUUAAUCCACCAGCGGGGAUAAUUACCAUGCAUAUUGGGAAGGUUUAAACCCCAAACCCCUCCAAAUUUGGCAGGAUGAUCUUCAUUUCUUAGCCAAACAAUAUACCAACACCUGAUUGGUGAUUGCUGAUUGUUGUAGCCAUCCCUGAAUUUUUGCAGGGCCUGUCUUAUUUAUGGAUAGGACAGACCUGCUCCUCCCUAAAUAAAGAUGUUCCAAUAACUAUUUCAGUUAAUUUAAUGAAACAUCACAUUCCAGUUAACAGCAACGCUUCUCAGAGUACGAAGUGCCUAACUUGCAAGAAUGUGUCGAGCAACAUCAUUUCCGGUUUCCUGUCCAAUCAUAUACAAAUAGACAGGGAAACAACAACAUAUUUCCUAUUCCCAAACAAUAAGGAGUAUUCCUCUUCAAUUAUACAGUUGUACAGCCAACCAUUUGACGGAGUUCUGCUGCAACAACAGCUACCUAUCCUUCUGGCAAGCAGAUCAAUAGGAAAUAAUAUUACCUCAGUUUGUGACUGGCAGCUAUAGAAUUUUCCUUUCUCUUACUAUAUUAGUUAACUCAGUACUUAAUGGACCGCCACUACCAGUAAAAAAGCUCAAGCAUUUGUCUCAGCUGGAGGCUUGACAAGUCCAAACCUACUUCCUCUGCUUCUGCUUUGAAUUUUGACUAUAACAACCUAAACUGAAAGCACAUUUACAUUCAUCUAAUCCAGGGGAAUUGCUGGAUUAGAACUUGCACAAGCCACAAGCAUAAGAUUAAUCCACGAUUUAAUUCCUCAUAAAUGAACAGAUCAUAGAACUCCACAAGAAAUUUAAAAAGAAAGAAUAAACACAGUCGAAGCGUAAAUUUGUCAUCUUUUUCUGUAUUUUUCAUAGUCUAAAUAGCAUCAGUAAAUAUUAGAUCCAACAAAAGAAUAUCAAACAAAAAAAAAUCCAAAUGGGAAAUCAAAGCCCAAGAAUAAUACAGAUUCAAUAAGAAAAAUCCUUCAAUUCCUGUAAAAGAGCCUCCUCUACCAAAAACCGGGACUCCUCCAUCAACUCAGGGCUCAAUCUAAACAUAAGAACACAGAACUCCAUCUGAUUGAGUGCGCCAUCACCAUCAAAAUCACCUUCCUUUAACAUACACCUCAAAUCAUCAUCACUCAAGUCUUGCAAACCCAAUAGAGCAGAAUUUCUUUUCAGACUGUCGAAAGUGAUCACACCCUUUUCACUAUCCAUCAGAAGAUUGAACCCAUUGCAUAGCUCCCCGAUUAGGCCAUCGCCGCCAAGCUUGUGGGCCAUAAGAGGCAGGUAGUCAUGGAAGUUGGGGGAUGGGUUUUGGUUUUGUGAGGACGCCAUCUAUGAAGUUGGAGAUAAUAUGAAAAUGGAGAAAAAUAGAGAUAUAAUUGGAGAAUUGAGAUGUGGGUUUUGCUGAGGAUGAGAAAUGAAUGGAUGGGUGCGUCUAUAAAUAGGUGGGCAGAUGGUAUUUCCGAGAUGGAGAGGCCAUGGAAGACAACUAGGAUACAGGUAAGG